GCAAGUCGAGCGCCUCUCUUCGGAGAGGAGCGGCGAACGGGUGAGUAACACGUAGGUUAUCUGCCCCGGGGUGAGGGACAACCGAUGGAAACGUCGGCUAAUACCACAUAUGGCCUACGGGUCAAAGGCUUCGGCCGCCCUGGGAUGAGCCUGCGUCCCAUUAUUUAAUCCUAGUUGGUGGGGUAAAGGCCUACCAAGGGUACGAUGGGUAGCUGGUCUGAGAGGAUGGAC
rnacentral:rRNA from 1 species